CAGCCUACCUCCGUGGGAGGGAGGCGGGCGAGUCGGGCGGCGAGAGGCGGGGCGGCGGCGGCGAGGAGAGGCCGCCCAGCGCGGGGCUUCUCGCCAUCUGCCUGCCUGGCUGCCUGCGAGCUCGGCGGGCAGCGCUUCCGCCCGCAGCGCCCGCCUCGCGGCUCUCAUUCCCUGCCCCUGCCAAAGCUCACCCAGCCCAAGCCGCGCUCUCCUUCCUGCCUCGCUUUUGCUGCCUCCUCCCCCCCCACCCCCAAAGCUUGGAGGUUUCCCGGCAGGAAGGAGGGAACUUAAUCCUCUCCAAGGGCUGCGGAAAACAGACAUGCAAAUGGGGGCUUGCCAGCUCUUCAAGCGCCGGCUUUCUUCGGGAAUUACCGCCCGCCGAGCCCGGUAACGCUGACAGGCCGAGCCGCGGGGCUUGGCAGCGCAGCCGGCAGAGUGUGGGAAAGGGCGGCCGCCACGCGCCGGGCAAGGCGAGACUCGACGGGGAGGACACCGGCAGCAGCGCCCCCCCCCCCAGAAACCCGCUCCGGGCAGGUAAUUCACAGAGAGUGGACAGAAGGAAGCCUUAAAGGGCUUCAGCCUCCCAGAGUGGCGGGGAAUAAUAAUAAUAAUAAUGAUAAUAAUAAAAUUGACAGGGGGUGUUUUUCUAGGUGAGGGGGUGGGGACUGUAAUAACAAAAAAAUCAGCUCUAUAUCAACCGCUGUUUUGCAAUGAGGAAUUGCAAAUAAGGAAGAUCAAAAGGAGAAUGUUUUUUUGGGGGGGACUCUCUUCCUCUUCCUCCUCCUCCUCUCGUUCUUGCUCCUCUUCCUGGCAAAAGGGCUGCUGAGACCCCUUCUCUCUUGGGUGCCGGUGGGUGCUGUGACGUUGACGCUGCUGUGGCAAGUGCCUUUACUUAGCAGAGUGCAUUCCCCUUUACACAGGAGGGGAGGGAAAAAAAUUGAAACUUACACUUUCGUGCGUCCCUCCCGGCACGACGCUGCGCGCUGACGUCACGGGGCUGUAAUGGUGGUGUGCCUCGAGAUUUUUUUCAUCAAACAAGUGUGCCUUUGCCCAAAAAAGGUUGGGAAACACUGACUUAGAUGACUGUAUUAUCCAGCAUGUCUAUGAAGUUUAGUGACAUGUUUCUGUGUCUGCAGGUAAACUGAUGCUGAUGCUAAAUAGAGCUGUAAGAAAGUGAAACAUACAAAGGUGAUAUGAAACACACAUUCCCAUUACAAUAUAAUGUGUGCAGUACCUACCAGGAUGCAGCCUGUGAUCCUCGUGCACAGAUCGGCUUUUGUUUGAUCAUCGUAUCUGAGUUCCUGUUUUCUUUGUA
rnacentral:lncRNA from 1 species